AAAUAGAUAAUGAAAAUGUUGUAUAUAUAUAUAUAGAACUUUUGAUACAUCAUCAGUCUAGAAAGAUUUAGAUCUGAAGGUUGUCGAAAUGUUUUUUUCAAAUCUUCAUUUUCAUUUUAAUGACUUUAGGUGUAAAUGGAUUUGCAAGUGAUCCAGAUACUAUAGCAGAAAUUUGUCCUACAGGUUGUUCGUUUUUAUUGGACCCUGUUUGUGGUUCCGAUGGAAUAACAUAUGAUAACCGAUGUUUAUUCAAAAUGGCAUACUGCAAAGAUGAUGAUUUAUUUAUCGCCUAUGAUGGACCCUGCAAAACGUAGAUUCGUUGUAUAUAGCAUAGCUGAUUAAAAUAAUAGUAAACAGAA